AAACAGCUCUCCCCCGGAACAAAGCUCAAGCACAAGGUGAACCCCGCUUGGGUCCUCAUACACGUCGUGGAGGUUGAUCACAUUGGGGGAAUGCCAUCGACGCCACACGUUUCUCGCUGCCACGGUUACGGGGGAGUCCUGGUAGAUUCGUUUGUCCACACCUUUUCAGCGUCUUGAUGGCUACAGGGUUUUCACCACUACUUGAUUUCCUUGUACCCCUUCUCACAACUGAGAAUCCUCCUCUCCCCAGAACGUCUGAUACUUCAUAUUCAUCUAAAAGUCUCCUUGUUUCCUGUCCCAUGACAAUGGAUUCUCCAAGAAACCAGCAGAGAUCGUCAGAGGAUCAAGAAUUUGCAGGGAAAGAGUGAAGGAAGAAGGCAGACUUGUUCAAUGAUAAGGGAGAGAAAGCUUGAAACCGAAGAAUGGUAUUAUAUUACAGGGAUUGACAUCAGCUUUUGUAAACAAUUUCUCAUUAGUUUAUACCAUAAAAUAUGAACGAAAUUCAGAUGCAAACGAGGGAAUAAACUACGGAGGGAUACAGCUGAGGUAGAAGAGACAAAGACUGAGUCAACCAUCCAUGUCUAUCUCUGAUAUUCCUUCUUCCGUGAAGAAACGCAUCUCUCCUUCUCAAUUUAUCGACUUUGAAGAGCUGUGACAACAGAAAAAAUAUAAACAAAUCUAGGUACAUGACUUCCUCCCUUUGUUUCCAUGCAACUUGGUUCUUUUAUCAAAUGCAACGACUUUCCACACUAGUUUAUACCAAUACUAAUUCAUUACCCGUUAGUAAACAUGCCCAUCAAUGGCCACAGUUGAGUCGAUUUGAAAUUAUCCACAAUUGCAAACCCUUUUGUAAGAGUGAUGAACACGGACCCAUGGUUACCCAUGACUAUAAUAUUUCACAUGAGAGCAGCUACAUAAAUUUUUAAGAUGUAAGGCAUGAAUUCAUGAUCACAUGGUGCCAUGACCAACAAAUUCUUGUGGGGUCCUAAAAACGUACAUGCAGAUGAAGAUUGGAGUAUUAUACUUGUACUGUUGAUGAAAGGAUCCUCCCACGGGAUAGCUUAGUAAAAUGAAGGCUAAAGACUGAGACCAGCACCAGCAGGAGUUGGUCACUUGCUCUCACAUUCCAGAUACGCUCUGAUAUUGGUAGGGGCGCGAGUAAUGCUACUGUGAAAUUUUUUAAUCUGAUUCUUGUGGCAGUCAAGGGGGCCAUUUUAUUAGAGAUUCUGCUGGCCAAGCUGAUGCUAGUCAGAGGGACGAACUACUACACCACUGAGGAUUGCACAAGCGCCUUCUGUGGGCUUAUGCAGCCAGUGGCGCUAGAACUAAAUCAACCUCAGCAGCGGCAAGGUAGAUCUUAGAGAUCAAUUGUUCGAGGUCAAGCGUAGGAUGUUGAGGCACUCUUGUCAUCUCAAGGUGCUGAUUAAUCUGGAACCUGCAUUCUUCUGUGUCUUGUACCUUCUCUGGUGGCACAUGUCCUAAGAUGCCCUUGAUUCUUGAGCAAAUAUACAAUAUUCAAAGUA